rnacentral:rRNA from 1 species
AGAGUUUGAUUAUGGCUCAGGACGAACGCUGGCGGCGCGCCUAACACAUGCAAGUCGAACGAGAAAGAGGGAGCUUGCUCCCUUGAUCGAGUGGCGAACGGGUGAGUAACGCGUGAGGAACCUGCCUCAAAGAGGGGGACAACAGUUGGAAACGGCUGCUAAUACCGCAUAAGCCCACGGCUCGGCAUCGAGCAGAGGGAAAAGGAGCAAUCCGCUUUGAGAUGGCCUCGCGUCCGAUUAGCUGGUUGGUGAGGUAACGGCCCACCAAGGCGACGAUCGGUAGCCGGACUGAGAGGUUGAACGGCCACAUUGGGACUGAGACACGGCCCAG